ensembl:lncRNA
AUGCUUCCACCGAAGUCAAGAUGCCUGGUUACAGUGAUACUUCCUCAUAUGCAAGUGACCAGUUCUGGGAUCUGGCCACUGGAAGAAGUUCUCCGACCCAGUUCAUACUGGCAUCAGAGUGGUGAGUUUGCUGUUUCCUCGUACACAAACGCACAGACAUCAUCUUGGGUCACGGACGAUUUCAGUUCCUUAACUCUCAGUGGAAACCCAGGCAUUGCUGGGCUUUGACCUUUUUCCCAGCAACUUUCUACAGUUCUCACAACUGUAGUCCAGUUUUUCCUGUGACAGAGGAAAACUUUUCGUGUCUCAUUCCCAGUUGAGCUAGACCAGUCAGGGUUCUCACUUGGAUUUUGCCCACAGAGAAACAUAAAAAUCCUGUAAAGCAUAGAAUGCCUGUUAUGCUAAAAUAUGAAUUUAAAACUUUACACCUCAGAUCUGUUCCAUCCCUUUAACUUGCACAGCUGUGUUGAUAGUGAAGCUAGACUCUAGACUUCCAGACCGUACAAUUUCCUGGGCUCCAUUUUAAGGAAACAAAAGAUAGGGGAAGAGCAUCCUUGAAAGAGAUCAUUUGAACACUGGUGAAGUUAAGAUCUAGUUAUGAGGGGAUGCUGUCUGUCUGCAUCAAUGCCAGUCAGGACUCCUUGAAGGAACAUCAUCUGUACCUCUUCUCAUAUAGAAAAAAAAAAUUAAAUGUUGCUUUUCCUCCUUUUCCUCACUUUCAUUUUCUAAUUUGAAGCUAUGUCCAGAUACAUGAAAACAAGUCUUCAGUGCCUUGUUUCCAAGCCAAUGUUGGAAAAAUUUCUAACUUAACAGGUCACCUGUAUGGUAGUGAGGUUCUUGUAGGCUGCUGUAACUGCAGCAUAUUCCUAGGGACUAGGAAUCCAUUCACAUAAAUAGGUGAUAGGUAGGUUUUACUUACUGUUGUCUUCUACAAGCUGGAGAGUGUUCUGCUGAGUUCUCUGUAGAAACCAAUCAAGCCACUUUGAAGCAGAAGCAAAUUACUUUUAGUAGUGUAAGCAGAAAAUCAAUUGCCACACACCUGUGGUGUCAUUUGCUCUAUGUACCAAUUCAGUGCCAUAUGUUGACAGUUUUUUCAUGCUCCUCCCUGGCCCAUCUUUUACUCUUGCUGCUGUGAGCUCUCUCUACUAGCUUGAUGGGAUCUACAGUUUCCUUAGCAUAAUUUCAACCAAACACUUAAGAAAAAAAAAAAUCACUGUUUUGCAAGCUGCUAAGCAGCUUUUGUCAGUGGAAACUGAUGGGACUCUCCAAAUUGUAGCACUGUGGUUUCCCAUCGUGCCUUCCUAACUUCAAGAGUUCCUAAGCUUGUUUUCUAUUCCUGCUACAGAGAAAUAAGGCAACCAAGUGAUACUGAAACCAUGGGGAUGAAAAUGCCAUAGCCCCCUCCAAGGACAAGUGAGAUAAAUCUAGAGCACGUUUUUAAAAGUACAGAUAAGGAUGACAUGUCAUGUACUCUGAAUUGCAAGUAAACCAUCUACCCUCAUGUUUUAAUGACAUUUCAGAUGGUGCCUGACUAGCUACUUGAAAAAUCUGUAAAGUUUGGGCAUAGGUUUUGAAGUUAUUUAUUCUUCUGGUAGGAGUUAAACAGCACUUAUUUCGAGCAAGGUUUUUCAAGGGAAAUAAAUAGCAUAUAAGAAAACA